UCGCGGUAAGACNUGGAAGACUAGUGUUAGUCAUCUUUAUUGGGUUUAAAGGGUACCUAGACGGUCAAUCACGCCUCUCCCAGAACAGAGAGGAACGAGUUGUACUAGAGUUUUAUAGGAAAGGCGAUAUUGUAUUAACGGAGUAGAGAUAAAAUUUAUUGAUACUGUUAGGAACGGAUAACGGCGAAGGCAAUCCUUUAUGUAAAAACUGACGUUGAGGGACGAAGGCUCGGGUAACGAACAGGAUUAGAUACCCUAGUAGUCCAGGCAGAAAAUGAUGAGUGCCAUAGGUUAGGUUAAUUUUGAUCUAUAAAUGAAAGUGUAAGCAUUCCACCUCAAGAGUAGUGCGGCAACGCAGGAACUGAAAUCAUUAGACCGUUUCUGAGAUCAGUAGUGAAGCAUGUUGUUUAAUUUGAUAGUCCGCAAAAAACCUUACCACAGCUUGAAUAUUUAGUGUAAUAUUUAGUGUAAUACUGAGUUUAAUACUUAGUACUAUACUGAGUAGUAUUAAGUACAGGUGCNGCAUGGCUGUCNUCAGUUAAUGUUGUGAAACUU
rnacentral:rRNA from 1 species